CCUACGGGAGGCAGCAGUGAGGAAUAUUGGUCAAUGGCCGGAAGGCUGAACCAGCCAUGCCGCGUGAAGGUCAGUGCCCUAUGGGCGUUAAACUUCUUUUGUGCGGGAGCAAUAAUGGUCACGUGUGGCCAGACGAGAGUACCGUACGAAUAAGCAUCGGCUAACUCCGUGCCAGCAGCCGCGGUAAUACGGGGGAUGCAAGCGUUAUCCGGAUUUAUUGGGUUUAAAGGGUGCGUAGGCUGUGAGGUAAGUCAGCGGUGAAAUGCCCCCGCUCAACGGGGUGAAGUGCCAUUGAUACUGCCUGGCUGGAAUGCGGAUGCCGUGGGAGGAAUGUGUGGUGUAGCGGUGAAAUGCAUAGAUAUCACACAGAACACCGAUUGCGAAGGUAUCUCACGAAGCCGCGAUUGACGCUGAUGCACGAAAGCGUGGGUAUCAAACAGGAUUAGAUACCCGUGUAGUC
rnacentral:rRNA from 1 species